GAAAUGCGAUAAUUAAUGUGAAUUGCAGAAUUUAGUGAAUCAUCGAAUCUUUGAACGCACAUUGCGCCCUCUGGCAAUCCGGAGGGCACGCCUGUCCGAGCGUCGGUACAAACGUCAAGCACUGCUUGGUAUUGGGCGACGCGGUCCGCCGCGCGCCUCAAAUCGACCGGCUGGGUCUUUCGUCCCCUCAGCGUUGUGGAAACUAUUCGCUAAAGGGUGCCGCGGGAGGCCACGCCGUGAAACAACCCCAUUUCUAAGGUUGACCUCGGAUCAGGUAGGAGUACCCGCUGAACUUAA
rnacentral:misc_RNA from 1 species